AUUGAACGCUGGCGGCAUGCCUAACACAUGCAAGUCGAGCGAGCGGCGGACGGGUGAGUAAUGUCUGGGAAACUGCCUGAUGGAGGGGGAUAACUACUGGAAACGGUAGCUAAUACCGCAUACCUGCCGAUGAGACCAGAUGGGAUUAGCUAGUAGGUGGGGUAACGGCUUACCGAGGCGACGAUCCCUAGCUGGUCUGAGAGGAGGACCAGCCACACUGGAACUGAGACACGGUCCAGACUCCUACGGGAGGCAGCAGUGGGGAAUAUUGCACAAUGGGCGCAAGCCUGAUGCAGCCACGCCGCGUGUAUGAAGAAGGCCUUCGGGUUGUAAAGCACUUUCAUCGGGGAGGCGUUACCCGCAGAAGAAGCACCGGCUAACUCCGUGCCAGCAGCCGCGGUAAUAC
rnacentral:rRNA from 1 species